rnacentral:rRNA from 1 species
GAUGAACGCUGGCGGCGUGCCUAAUACAUGCAAGUCGAGCGAACAGACGAGGAGCUUGCUCCUCUGACGUUAGCGGCGGACGGGUGAGUAACACGUGGAUAACCUACCUAUAAGACUGGGAUAACUUCGGGAAACCGGAGCUAAUACCGGAUAAUAUAUUGAACCGCAUGGUUCAAUAGUGAAAGACGGUUUUGCUGUCACUUAUAGAUGGAUCCGCGCCGCAUUAGCUAGUUGGUAAGGUAACGGCUUACCAAGGCGACGAUGCGUAGCCGACCUGAGAGGGUGAUCGGCCACACUGGAGCUGAGACACGGUCCAGACUCCUACGGGAGGCAGCAGUAGGGAAUCUUCCGCAAUGGGCGAAAGCCUGACGGAGCAACGCCGCGGGAGUGAUGAAGGUCUUCGGAUCGUAAAACUCUGUUAUUAGGGAAGAACAAAUGUGUAAGUAACUAUGCACGUAUUGACGGUACCUAAUCAGAAAGCCACGGCUAACUACGUG